rnacentral:rRNA from 1 species
GAUGAACGCUGGCGGCGUGCCUAAUACAUGCAAGUCGAGCGAACGGACGAGAAGCUUGCUUCUCUGAUGUUAGCGGCGGACGGGUGAGUAACACGUGGAUAACCUACCUAUAAGACUGGGAUAACUUCGGGAAACCGGAGCUAAUACCGGAUAAUAUUUUGAACCGCAUGGUUCAAAAGUGAAAGACGGUCUUGCUGUCACUUAUAGAUGGAUCCGCGCUGCAUUAGCUAGUUGGUAAGGUAACGGCUUACCAAGGCAACGAUGCAUAGCCGACCUGAGAGGGUAAUCGGCCACACUGGAACUGAGACACGGUCCAGACUCCUACGGGAGGCAGCAGUAGGGAAUCUUCCGCAAUGGGCGGAAGCCUGACGGAGCAACGCCGCGUGAGUGAUGAAGGUCUUCGGAUCGUAAAACUCUGUUAUUAGGGAGGAACAUAUGUGUAAGUAACUGUGCACAUCUUGACGGUACCUAAUCAGAAAGCCACGGCUAACUACGUG